rnacentral:rRNA from 1 species
UACGUAGGGGGCGAGCGUUGUCCGGAAUUAUUGGGCGUAAAGAGCUCGUAGGCGGUGUGUCGCGUCGGCCGUGAAAACCUGCAGCUUAACUGUGGGCUUGCGGUCGAUACGGGCAUCACUGGAGUUCGGCAGGGGAGACUGGAAUUCCUGGUGUAGCGGUGAAAUGCGCAGAUAUCAGGAGGAACACCGGUGGCGAAGGCGGGUCUCUGGGCCGAUAUUGACGCUGAGGAGCGAAAGCGUGGGGAGCAAACAGG